rnacentral:rRNA from 1 species
UACGUAGGCAGCAAGCGUUGUUCGGAGUUACUGGGCGUAAAGGGCGCGUAGGCGGGAUGGCAAGUCGGUCGUGAAAUCCUUCGGCUCAACCGAAGAACGUCGGGCGAUACUGCCGUUCUUGAGGGAUGCAGAGGAGAUUGGAAUUCCCGGUGUAGCGGUGAAAUGUGUAGAGAUCGGGAGGAAGACCAGUGGCGAAGGCGGGUCUCUGGACAGUUCCUGACGCUGAGGCACGAAGGUCAGGGGAGCAAACGGG